rnacentral:rRNA from 1 species
UCCACACGACUCUCGGCAACGGAUAUCUCGGCUCUCGCAUCGAUGAAGAACGUAGCGAAAUGCGAUACCUGGUGUGAAUUGCAGAAUCCCGCGAACCAUCGAGUCUUUGAACGCAAGUUGCGCCCGAGGCCACUCGGCCGAGGGCACGCCUGCCUGGGCGUCA